rfam:Staphylococcus phage vB_SepS_SEP9, complete genome.
CAGAAUGUAGUUCAAUUUGGUAGAAUACCACAUUUGGGAUGUGGUGGUUGUUGGUUCAAAUCCAGCCAUUCUGA